UCCCUGAUAGCUCAGCUGGUAGAGCGUUCGACUGUUAAUCGAAUGGUCGCAGGUUCGAGUCCUGCUCAGGGAGCCA
rnacentral:tRNA from 2 species